ACAGCAAUUUUUGCAGUUUGAGGAGCAUACAGGAUUUUUUUUUUUUCUUUUAAAGUGACAGAUAAAGCCAUCAAGGACAGACCCUGAUAUGCUACAGUAAUUAAAACAGAAAAAUCAGCAAACUGCUUCCAGAGAAACUGCUUGUGCAUGCAGAAGGAUACUCUGCUUCUUGGUUCCUCCAAGGACACUGAAUAUGGUGAUGGUAUCUCAAUCUAAGACUUCAGUCCAACAGAAACACAACUGCUAUCAAGAUGUGACUUACUGUAACAGUCUGCUACUCCUAGCUGGGCGAUGUUUGAAUAUCCUUCUUCCAAGUCAUCAGAGAAUUUCCAUUUACCAGUCAAGUUCUUUCAUUCUAUUUUAUAAAAUAAAGCAUGCAUAUAUAUCUAA